GACAACCUACCUAUCGAAGGAAGGGAAUAACCCGACGAAAGUCGGACUAAUACCGCAUAAACAGGGGCACCGCAUGGUGAUAUUUGUUAAAGAAAUUCGCUGAUAGAUGGGCAUGCGUUCCAUUAGGUAGUUGGUGAGGUAACGGCUCACCAAGCCGACGAUGGAUAGGGGAACUGAGAGGUUGGUCCCCCACACUGGUACUGAGACACGGACCAGACUCCUACGGGAGGCAGCAGUGAGGAAUAUUGGUCAAUGGGCGGGAGCCUGAACCAGCCAAGUCGCCGGUGAAGGAAGAAGGAUCUAUGGUUCGUAAACUUCUUUUGCAGGGGAAUAAAGUGCAGGACGUGUCCUGUUUUGUAUGUACCCUGAGAAUAAGGAUCGGCUAACUCCGUGCCAGCCGCCGC
rnacentral:rRNA from 1 species